UUUAAUGAUGAUAAUGAGCCUUAGAGGCUCUAUCUAUAAACCCAGCUCGUCGACUUAUUUAUCAUGAGAAAAAUAGUUUAUAACUGAUU
rnacentral:snoRNA from 1 species